rfam:Oryza nivara chromosome 4, whole genome shotgun sequence.
AAAUAAUGCAGACAUGAGUUUCUGUGUCUAAUUCUAAUCGUCCGUCUUAUUUAAUUCUUUUUAUGAUUAGUAUUUUUAUUGUUAUAAGAUUAUAAAACAUAAAUAAUAUUUUGUGCAUGACUUAUAUUUUUUAGUUUUUUUUUAAAAAAUAAAUAAGACGGACUAUCAAAGUUGGACACGAAAACUCAUGACUGCGUUUAUU